rnacentral:rRNA from 1 species
UACGUAGGGGGCAAGCGUUAUCCGGAUUUACUGGGUGUAAAGGGAGCGCAGACGGAACUGCAAGUCUGAUGUGAAAGCCCGGGGCUCAACCGCGGGACUGCAUCGGAUACUGUAGAUCUGGAGUGCCGGAGGGGCAAGCGGAAUUCCUGGUGUAGCGGUGAAAUGCGUAGAUAUCAGGAGGAACACCGGCGGCGAAGGCGGCUUGCUGGACGGCAACUGACGUUGAGGCUCGAAAGCGUGGGGAGCAAACAGGAUUAGAUACCCGCGUA